CCUACGGGUGGCUGCAGUAGGGAAUAUUGGGCAAUGGGUGCAAGCCUGACCCAGCCAUGCCGCGUGCAGGAUGACAGCCUUUGGGUUGUAAACUGCUUUUAUAAGGGAAGAAAAAGUCGCUGCGGCGAAAACUGACAUUACCUUAUGAAUAAGCACCGGCUAACUCCGUGCCAGCAGCCGCGGUAAUACGGAGGGUGCAAGUGUUGUCCGGAUUUAUUGGGUUUAAAGGGUGCGUAGGCGGUAAGGUAAGUCAGCGGUGAAAGCCUGCAGCUUAACUGUAGAACUACCGUUGAUACUAUCUCACUUGAGUAUGGUUGAAGUAAGUGGAAUUUAUGGUGUAGCGGUGAAAUACAUAGAUACCAUAAAGAACACCAAUAGCGUAAGCAGCUUACUGAUCCAUAACUGACGCUGAGGCACGAAAGCGUGGGGAGCGAACAGGAUUAGAUACCCUGG
rnacentral:rRNA from 1 species